rnacentral:lncRNA from 1 species
CAUAUAGGAAAUAUGGAUUUGUGCCCACAAUGGCCAUAACCACAGGCAUAGGUUUCUUCUAUCGCUUAAAGAAAGCGGACUCGAUAGCAUCAAAUUUGCAAAUAGAUGUCCAUGGCAUUAUGAGUAGCCUACUGGAUAUGUUUAUUAAGAUAAGAAAAAAAAAUCACAAUUCAUCUUUAGACUCGAUCGGUGUAAAAGCACUUGGUUGGUAUCAAAUGAUUUGAGUGGGAAAUAGAGAAUACAAAAUCAAACACUUGAUUCUGUAAUGUAAAUCCAGUACUUGGAAUCAUCGAUACUCGAAACCCCAGCAUCGAUGGAUGAUUUGGUCCGCACAUUUUGGAGUUGAAGCAAGCAUCAGCUUUCCUGUCUCGUCGUCAUGGUUUCAGAAUUAGACACUUGAUAUGAAAGAUCGGAGGCUGAGUGAUACCGAGUUGAAUGGUGUUGUUGGGGGAUGGGUUGAAGCAGAUAAACUCGUUUGCCACUGACAGACAAUUAUAGUUCUGCCGAAAGCUGGAAUUGGCUUCUACAGUUUGAAGUUGAGGAAUGAGCUGCAAUGACCACCACAAGAACAAUGUAGUUAACCAAACCAAAGAGAAGGACACGAGUAUAACUAGUCACAAAAAAACCUGCAACAUUUCUUUAUACUACUAACAUUUGAGAAAUAUGCCCAAACGCCAGCCAGCCAGAAACUAUAGUUUCAUAAGCAUUGUAAUGAUGUACCCAAAAAAAGAGAGUCUAUGCCGUUGGCUAAUUAGUGAUUAAUUCUAAUUUGUGUCAUUAGCAUCAGCGCAAUUAUAAACAACGUCACAAGGAAAAUGACUAGCAGUAAGAGAAAAAC